GGAGGGGGCGAGCGCUAUUCGGAUUUACUGGGCGUAAAGCGCACGUAGGCGGCUAGGUAUGUCAAAGGGUGAAAGCCCUCGACUCAACCGAGGAACUGCCUCCGAAACUGCUUGGCUUGAGUCCGGGAGAGGGGAGCGGAAUUCCCAGUGUAGCGGUGAAAUCCGUAGAUAUCGGGAGGAACACCUGCGGCGAAGGCGGCUCUCUGGACGGUGACUGACGCUGAGACGCGAAAGCGUGGGGAGCAAACAGGAUUAGAUACCCUGGUAGUCCACGCCGUAAACGUUGCGCACUAGGUGUCGGGAGAUUCACCCUCUCGGUGCCGACGCUAACGCAUUAAGUGCGCCGCCUGGGGAGUACGGUCGCAAAGGCUG
rnacentral:rRNA from 1 species